UCAAGAUCUGGAAUGAAGGUGUUUCAUUUGCAGCUCAAAUCAUCUGGAUUAAAGGUUAUGUCUUCCCAGCUGAAAAGAUCUGACUAAGUGGGGUAACUUCAGAGACUCAAUUGAUCAAAGUGAUGAAAAUCAGUGGCUGUUGAUAUCUCAGCUCUAAACAAGACAUCUACAUCAUCCUCUCCAAGGCUAGGAAACAUAGAAGAGGGAGCAGAAAGGAUGUAAAGCCCAGACAGCCAUCUGAAAAGAUCUUCAAACCGAACACCCGCUUGUGUACCAGCAUAUAUAGGGCGGCAGCAGAUGGGAUGGCCCAUCUCUACUUCCAGGCUUCAGAGGUGCUUCAGACCCAUCUUCAGAGGAGGUGAGAGCCUAGGUCUUUGUGCUCAACUGUGUAGGUAGUACCUCAGAACUUUGCUAUCAGUGCUGUGUUUAUUUCUCUAACCCAAGUGCUCUUACCUCCUGGCUUCCUUAGAAUAAUAACCUUCUAUUAGACUGGGUAGUGGUGGGGUAUGCCUUCAAUCCCAGCACUUGGGAGGCAGAAGCAGGCAAAUCUCUGGGUUCAUGGCUAAUGUGGUCUACA